AAAAUAAACUUGCCAAAAGGGUGGUCAGGCAUUGGAACAGGCUGCCCAGGGAAGUAGUGGAAUCACCAUUCCUGUAAGUGUUCAAAAAUCAUGUAGAUGAGGCCCUUAAUGAUAUGGGUAGAUGGUG